rnacentral:rRNA from 1 species
GUAAGGAAUAUUGGGCAAUGGAGGCAACUCUGACCCAGCCAUGCCGCGUGAAGGAUUGACGGCCCUCUGGGUUGUAAACUUCUUUUGUACGGGAAUAACCCUCCGAGCGUGUUCGGAGCUGAAGGUACCGUAAGAAUAAGGAUCGGCUAACUCCGUGCCAGCAGCCGCGGUAAUACGGAGGAUCCAAGCGUUAUCCGGAUUUACUGGGUUUAAAGGGUGCGUAGGCGGAUUGAUAAGUCAGUGGUGAAAUCCUGCAGCUUAACUGCAGAACUACCAUUGAUACUGCCAGUCUGGAGUAUGGUUGAGGUAGCUGGAAUGUGUCAUGUAGCGGUGAAAUGCUUAGAGAUGACACAGAACACCGACGGCGAAGGCAGGUUACCAACCCAUUACUGACGCUGAGGCACGAAAGCGUGGGGAUCAAACAGGAUUAGAUACCCGAGUAGUCC